rnacentral:rRNA from 1 species
UCCAGACUCCUACGGGAGGCAGCAGUGGGGAAUAUUGCACAAUGGGGGAAACCCUGAUGCAGCGACGCCGCGUGAGUGAAGAAGUAUUUCGGUAUGUAAAGCUCUAUCAGCAGGGAAGAAAAUGACGGUACCUGACUAAGAAGCCCCGGCUAACUACGUGCCAGCAGCCGCGGUAAUACGUAGGGGGCAAGCGUUAUCCGGAUUUACUGGGUGUAAAGGGAGCGUAGACGGCAUGGCAAGUCAGAUGUGAAAGCCCGGGGCUCAACCCCGGGACUGCAUUUGAAACUGUCAGGCUGGAGUGCAGGAGAGGUAAGUGGAAUUCCUAGUGUAGCGGUGAAAUGCGUAGAUAUUAGGAGGAACACCAGUGGCGAAGGCGGCCUGCUGGGCUUUUACUGACGCUGAGGCUCGAAAGUGUGGGGAGCAAACAGGAUUAGAUACCCUCGUAGA